GGAAUAAAAGUCGUAACAAGGUUUCCGUAGGUGAACCUGCGGAAGGAUCAUUACUGAGUGAGGGCCCCUCGGGGUCCAACCUCCCACCCGUGUUUAACGAACCUUGUUGCUUCGGCGGGCCCGCCUCACGGCCGCCGGGGGGCAUCUGCCCCCGGGCCCGCGCCCGCCGAAGCCACCUGUGAACGCUGUCUGAAGUAUGCAGUCUGAGACAAUUAUUAAAUUAAUUAAAACUUUCAACAACGGAUCUCUUGGUUCCG
rnacentral:misc_RNA from 1 species